AUACGGAGGAUCCGAGCGUUAUCCGGAUUUAUUGGGUUUAAAGGGUGCGCAGGCGGGAGAUUAAGUCGGCGGUGAAAUUUUGCAGCUCAACUGUAAAAGUGCCUUCGAUACUGGUUUCCUUGAGUGUGGAUGAAGUAGGCGGGAUUUGUGGUGUAGCGGUGAAAUGCUUAGAUAUCACGAGGAACUCCGAUUGCGCAGGCAGCUUACUAAACCACUACUGACGCUCAGGCACGAAGGCGUGGGGAUCAAACAGGAUUAGAUACCCUGGUAGUCCACGCAGUAAACGAUGAUUACUGGCUGUUUGCGAUAUAAUGUAAGCGGCUGAGCGAAAGCGUUAAGUAAUCCACCUGGGGAGUACGUUCGCAAGAAUGAAACUCAAAGGAAUUGACGGGG
rnacentral:rRNA from 1 species